AAGGGUGUAGCUCAGUGGUAGAGUGCGUGCUUAGCGUGCAUGAAGUCCUGGGUUCAAUCUUCGCACCUCUG
rnacentral:tRNA from 1 species